GGAAGAGAUGGAAAAGAGUGAAUGUGCCCAACGUUUGUUUAGGGGGUGGUUCCAGCAGCAUGGCAGACAGGCCCACAAGGGCCCUGUUCCUGUUAUAAACAGACGAAAGGGUGGCUCAGUUCAGAAGAAUGAAAGGGAGCUCUCAGGUGACACAAAUGAAGAGACCCCAAAAGCCAGAAUGGUCUGAGUGGCCCAGGGAGGCAUGAGACCUAGAGUCUGGAGGCUCCGGUUUAGUGCCGUGUGUGGAUAUAAGACGCGUGCCUGUGGACCUGACUAGGCUUGGCUCCAUCGCCAAGAACCUGUGUAGAGCUGGAAUUCUCAAAGGGCUGCCCAGUUCUUGGCCCACGGUCCAAAGAUGUGUCAAGAGUCCAGGCAGGUUUUUUUUCUUAAGAAUAUAUAUAGGGACUUCCCUGGUGGCACGGUGGUUAAGAAUCCGCCUGCCAAUGCAGGGGACACGGGUUCGAACCCUGGUCCAGGAAGAUCCCACAUGCCGCGGAGCAACUAAGCCCGUGCGCCACAACUACUGAGCCUGUGCUCUAGAGCCCGUGAGCCACAGCUACUGAACCUGCAUGCCACAGCUACUGAAGCCCACGUGCCUAGAGCCCGUGCUCCGCAACAAGAGAAGCCACCGCAAUGAGAAGCCCGUGCGCCGCAACGAAGAGCAGGCCCCGCUCGCCGCAACUAGAGAAAGCCCGCGCACAGCAGCAAAGACCGAACGCAACCCAAAAAUCAAUCAAUCAAUCAGCCAAUCCACUUCUUACCUAAAAAAAUAGACUGUAUAUAUUUUUUAAAGAAUAUGUUUAUAUAUUCUUUCUGAGAUUCUUCUCCAUUAUAGGUUAUUACAAGAUAUUGAAUAUAGUUUCCUGUGUUAUACAGUAGUCUUUGUUGUCAGAAAAAUCUUUUAUGGGAUAUUUUUACUACCCAUAUAGUUUGGAAAUCCCAAGCCAAGAAUUUAACAUAGGAAGUAGGUCUGUACUCUUAAAAUUUGCGGGCCAUCGUGGCACAAACAAAUUCAAAACUACCUUGAAGAUAAACACAUCUUCAAUCUGGGGUCCGUGGGGUUUCUGUACAACAGUCCCCACCAGAGACAGACUCACACAGAACACUGUGAACGCUGGAGAGGGAGAGCUCCCGGGGCAGGGUCUAGAUGCUCAGGAUGCAGAUGAGCGGCAGACAGAAACCUCAGACCGUGACUUCAGUUGGUGAUGUCGACAAAAAUUAGUCCGUUGAUCUAAGAAAGAAGUGGAGAAUUUUAUUUGAGCCAGAUUUGAGGAUUAUAACCUGGAAGAACAUCUCAGCAAAGCUCCAAGAACUGUUCCGCCCGUUAGAGGUCACGGCACAGUAGCAUAAGUUUUUGAGACACAAGGCUGUACGCGAAAUGACGUCUUAUUGACAGGUCACACUAGCCAUGUCUGAGCGUCAUCGUGGCCCCAUCAAGAAGGAAGGUUAUCUUUAAGGCCCUGUCUUGUUGGUGCUGGGAGAACGCUGCUCUUCGUGGCUGGGCAGGUGUUCCUGCCGAUGGAGGUUUGGUCGAUGUAAGAUGCAGAUACGCCCUGCACAGUAAGGGGGAGAGCGGGGGCCAGAGGGCAGAGCAGAUGUGUUGAUGUUUGAAUUGUUCUUGUCUUGCCAUAAAAUACGAACUUUAUUUCACAGUAACAAUAAUUAGAAGUGACCAGCUGUACUAAAGAUAGAGCGAGCGUUCUAGAGGAGCAGUGAGGUAAGUGCAGGAGGAGUAGCUGUUGGGACAGCAGAUGCUGCAGAUGUACCGUUGUAUCUGGUAGAGAGCUGCUACGGGAACCUGCGUAUGUAAGGCGUCUAACAGCCGUGUGGUGAGAGGCUGCCGUGUGCCCGGCGCAGGGGCAUUACGGAUCCAGGGUCAGGGAAAAGCUAGCCCGUGUCUGUGUGGAAGGCAGCUCGGAAGCUGCGGUACAGUGUCCGAUGUGGGAACGGGGGCGUCUGGAGUAGAGGGGCAGGAAGGGGCUGCAGAGGAGGUGCCUGGGCUUGAGUCUGGAGAGGCUGGUCCUAACAGGAGGGUGGUAUUUUAGAGGGACGUGAGAAAUUCGGGGAACAAGUUCACCGUGCCUGGCGCUGGGAGGAGGGCAAGGCCAGCGCAGCGUUUCUGCAGGUGUCUUGUGUGAAGUAGGUUUAGAUGCAGAAAAAAAGCGUUCUGUGGCCCAGCGGAUUUGUGAAACGACGGCUUAAACACAGCUAAACGGUUGCUCCAAAACCUGGGGGUGGCUCCUCUCCAGGGCGUGCGUGGCGCUGGUUAGAAUUUGCAGCAGUUGCCAGAUUUCUGUGUCCAUCGAAUAGUUUUGUUUUUUCACAGAAACCUGACUGGUACUCCAUUGGGAAUGCUUUGGAAAUUGUGGCGCUAGAGAGAGGAGGGCAGGAACCGCAUGGUGUAGUUUCUGUCUGUGCCGCGCUGAGAAACUUGAACUUCCGCUCUCAGAGCUGUGGACUGGAGUGCUUUCAGCCGGGGAAUGGCUUGAUCAAAUAAAACGUCAUUUAAGCCUUCACAGAAUUAAAGCCGUUCAGUUUCUCCUUCAGACAAACACACGCUGAAAGGAAAAAAGCACAUGUUUUGAAAACAACUAAACUUUCCUUCCGAAAGAGCAUGCUGGGUACUACUUCUUCUCUUGAAGCUGCAGCUUGCUCUGUAAUCAGCUCCUUGUGGAAGGAUUUUGGCUCUUGCUGGGAAAUGGAGGCCUGGAACCUGUGUUGACGGGUCCCGUUGGAAACAAUUAGCGUCAGGCAAAUGGGUCUUCAAACCGGCCAUAGCAAGACCUGACCAGCGGAGAAGUCAUCUCAGAAAGAAUCUCUGUUUGCAAGGUAACUAGAGCUCGUGCAUUGGGGUGUGGGUCUUCCCAUGGAACCGGCACACCUGACUUUCCCUUUCUGAGCCCGUUUUGUUUCAAGAGGGGGGAAGUGGGCGCGUGCAGCACUGGCCAGGGAGCGGGCGCCGCUCUCCCCGGGGGGGUGGCCCUUCACUCAGCCUGUGAACUACAGGUAUGAUGACAGAUACAUCAGUAGACAGGGCUGGAUACAGCGAGCAUCAUGAUACCGAAUCGUGAUCAGCACGGAAAGGUUAACACUAGAUUUUUCUGAGGGAUGAUGGGUAAUUUUUAUUUUAUUUUUUCCUGUAUUUUCCAAAGUUCCAGAGUGAUGAAGAAUUACCAUUGUAAUGGGGGUGGGGGGGCAGGUGAGCUUGAAAAAAAAUUAAUUCUGUGGACAACAGUGUCUAUUAUGAUGUAAGUCUGUGAAGAUGGCCACAGUCAUUGAAGAGUAGACACAGUAGUCAAGCGAGUCAAGAUAAUUUAUGCAGGAUUCUAGAUAAUUUGUGAUUUUGGUGCGUAAGCUCAGGGCAGGACCUCUGAAAGUUUAUUACUCUUGAGAAGGGCACAAUCUUGGACUUACAAAGUUCCUUUUUAAAAUUUUCAUUCUUUUUCUUUGUUUUUUUUUUUUCUGAAAAGCUCCCCUGUGACCAGUGUGUUCCUUUUACCUGGUGGAAGGGAAGAGGAGUUAGGCCCCUGUUUUGCAGAUGGAAAUGCCGAGGCCCUAAGAGUGUGGAGUGAUUUGCCUGAUGAGCACACCUUGAGUCAGGCACGGUGGAGACCAUAACUCAAGCCUCUCUUUCCUCCCCAUUGAACUCACUAACCAUUUUUUCUUUUGGAUUAAAAAAAAGUUUUGGUCCAGGGGCCAGUCCAUCUCCGUCAGCGGCCUGGAACGCGGCAGUCUCUGCCUUCGUGGCGCUCGGAUCACGGCACCGUCCCGUUUUGGGGUUGCUCCUGAGGACGGUAGAAACUGCCAGCGCCCUCCGAUUGUGAAGGGGUUGGCCGGGCUGGCGGACGCCAGGGUGGAGAGGGCGCAUGGCGCGCAGCUGGCAGACGGCGGCGGGGUGUCAGGGCGGGCGGCGGCUGUCGCGGGGCGCGGUGGCUGCCUUCAUUCCGAAAGCCCUAGGUUUUCCUUAGCAACGGUGUCAGCAGCGCCAACAACUCCCGGGGCUACUAGUGGAGUCUGCGGGCUCCCGCCUUUGAUCCUCUCGCCCCAGCCCUGAAUUUUACACCUUCCUUUUUAUUGGUGCCCUUUCUUUUCUUGUAGAAGUGGCCAAAACAGUUUUUCUCUACAAGAAGCUAAAGUUAUUUGUCUUUCCCGGAGAGCUCACGUGCGACUUGCUUUAUUUGGUCUGUUUACGGCUGAGUCGUAUAUACCACACUUGUCGACCUUCUUGAAUCCUUUGGGGUCUUUAUAAGCUGGGUAGUUAUUCCACUAAGUGAAGCUGUCAGCAGAUUAAUUUGGCGUCGUCUUUGGAAUGUCAGAAAUUUAAACCAAGUAACUAAACACUUGAGUCAUGGUUUUUUAAAGUUGUUUGACUCAUCUCCCUGUCUCCAAGCUAAAGUCAGGCAGUUGUCAGUUCAAGGAGGUGUUCUAGAGAAGAGGUUCCCAAGCUCCUCCAGCCUCUCUCAGUUCUUGUUCUGAAAUGAGUAUUUUCUUUCCCAAGAGACCGCAGCAGUGCUGAACUUACCAGGCUUUUCUCUGCUGGUGUAAAUAGUUCUCUCUCUUCCUAACUAGGAACAGGAAGAGAGUGAAAUGCAUGUAGCAGUCGAUACUGCGUUGUUCACAAAUUCAAGGUUGGUGGCAGCCUGUGUCGAACAAGUCUCUCGGCGCCAUUUUUCCAACAGCAUCUGGUCACUUCAUGUCUCUGUGUCACAUUUGGUUAUUCUCACAAUAUUUCAAACUUUUUCAUUAUUGUAUUUGUUAUAUCUGUGAUCAGUGAUAUUUGAUGUUACUAUUGUAAUUGGGGUGCCACACCACACCCAUAUGAAACCACAAACUUAAUCAAUAAAUGCUGUAUCUUUACUGCUCUACCCAGCAGCGGUUCCCCUGUCCCUCUCCCUCUCCUUGGGCCUCCCUAUUCCCUGAGACAAAACAUUACUGAAAUUAGGCCAAUUAAUAACCCUACAAGGGUCUCUAAGUAUUCAAGUGAAAGGAAGAGUUGCACAUCUCUCACUUUAAAUCAAAAACUAGAAAUUAUUACCCUUAGUGAGGAAGGCACGUGGAAAGCCAAGAUAGGCCUAAAGCUGGGCCUCUUGCACCAAACGGUUAGCCAAGCUAGAAAUGCAAAGGAAAAGUUCUUGAAGGAAAUUAAAAGUACUACUUCAGUGAACACACAAAUGAUAAGAAAGCGAAACAGCCUUAUCGCUGAUAUGGAGAAAGUCUGAGUGGUCUGGAUAGAAGAUCAAACCAGAAACAGCAAAGCCUCGUCCCGAGCAAGGCCCAACUCUCUUCAGUUCCAUGAAGGCUGAAAGCGGUGGGGAAGCUGCAGAAGAAAAACUUGAAGCUUAGCAGAGGUUGAUUCAUGAGGUUUAAGGGAAGGUGCGUUCUCAGUCACAUAAAAGUGCAAGGUGAAGCAACAGGUGCUGAUGUAGAAGCUGCAGCAAGUUAUCCAGAAGAUCCAGCUAAGAGAAUUCAUGAAUGUGGCUGCACUAAACCACAGAUUUUCAAUGUAGGUUAAACAGCCUUCUAUUGGAAGAAGAUGCCAUCCAGGACUUCCAUAGUUAGAGAGGGGACGUCAAUGCCUGGCUUCAAAGGACAGGCUGACUCUCCUGUUAGGGGCUGAUGCAGCUGGUGACUUUCAGUUGAAGCCAAGGCUCAUUUACCAUUCUGAAAAUCCUAGGGCCCUUAAGAAUUAUGCUGCAUCUACUCUGCCUGUGCUCUGCAAAUGGAACAACAAGCCUGGAUGACAGCACACCUGUUUACAACAUGGUUUACUGAAUGGUUUAAGCCCACUGUUGAGACCUACUGCUCGGAAAAAAAAGAUUCAAAAUAUUACUGCUCAUUGACAGCGCACCUGGUGUCACCCAAGAGCUCUGAUGGAGAUGGGCAAUGAGACUCAUGUUGUUUUCAUGCCUGCAAACACAACAUCCGUCCUGCAGCCUGUGGAUCAAGGAGUAACUUUCAAGCCUUGUUGUUUAAGAAAUACAUUUCGGGGACUUCCCUAGUGGUGCAGUGGAUAAGAAUCCGCCUGCCAGUGCAGGCAACACGGGUUCGAUCCCCGGUCCGGGAAGAUCCAAUAUGCCGCGGAGCAACUAAGCCCGUGCGCCACAACUACUGAGCCUGUGCUCUAGAGCCUGCGAGCCACAACUACUGAGCCCUUUUGCCACAACUACUGAAGCCCACGCGCCUAGAGCCUGUGCUCUGCAACAAAGAGAAGCCACCACAAUGAGAAGCCUGUGCUCCGCAAUGAAGAGUAGCCCCUGCUCGCCGCAACUAGAGAAAGCCUGCACGCAGUAACAAAGACCCAGUGCAGCCAAAAA